rnacentral:lncRNA from 1 species
CAGCUCCCGUAACUUCAGACAACAGGAACAGUAUGUAAGAAGAGCUGCAUUAUCUAGAUUCUAGGUCUCAAAAUAUAAGGAAUGACCUCACGAGUCACAGCCCAGUUGUUCCUAUAUGUAGUUAGAAGGAGAUAUCUGAAGUACAAACAACUCUACAAGCAGGCCUCCUGCUUCUCCCCUCAGGCUAUGCAGAAUUAUUCAUACUCAAGGUCUAAAGAGGAACAUCAGCACGAAGGAAAAACAGACUAAAGAGUGAAAACAAAUUAGCAAUCCAAACAGCUCUCUCCCAGCCUGUCACUGGAAGGCCUUUGGUGUCUCAUUCCAGAGUCAAGGGGUUUUCUGAGUUGAAGAUUAAAGGAUACAUUUUCAGGGCUCAGAGAACAGACAAUCUGUGAAAUGCAUAUUCACCCAAGGCAGCCAGAACAAGGUGCGCAUAUGAAGAACCGGGAUGGGCCUUCACCCCAAACCAGAUGAGCCUUGUAUGGAUAGUCGGUAUUUUGCACCCACUGGGCUCGAGUCUUUCAUAUUUUAUUCAUGCUUGGGUAAGGAAAAAAAGAAAG